GAUGAACGCUGGCGGCGUGCUUAACACAUGCAAGUCGAACGAAGCACCUCUCCCGAAGCUUGACACAGCUUGCUGUAGAUUGAUUCAUUUGAGGUGACUGAGUGGCGGACGGGUGAGUAACGCGUGGGUAACCUGCCUCAUAGAGGGGGACAACAGUUGGAAACGACUGCUAAUACCGCAUAGUAAGAAGAAUUCGCAUGUUUUCUUCUUGAAAGAUUUAUCGCUAUGAGAUGGACCCGCGUCUGAUUAGCUAGUUGGUAAGGUAACGGCUUACCAAGGCGACGAUCAGUAGCCGGCUUGAGAGAGUGAACGGCCACAUUGGGACUGAGACACGGCCCAAACUCCUACGGGAGGCAGCAGUGGGGAAUAUUGCACAAUGGGGGAAACCCUGAUGCAGCGACGCCGCGUGAGUGAAGAAGUAUUUCGGUAUGUAAAGCUCUAUCAGCAGGGAAGAUAAUGACGGUACCUGACUAAGAAGCCCCGGCUAACUA
rnacentral:rRNA from 1 species